AUCUAUAAUAAAUUUCUCCUCCUCAUUCCAAUCGUGCCUAGUUAGUACUUGGAUGGAAGACCACCUGGGAAUACUGAGUGCUGUAGGCU
rnacentral:rRNA from 1 species